rnacentral:rRNA from 1 species
UACGUAGGGGGCAAGCGUUGUCCGGAAUCAUUGGGCGUAAAGCGCGUGUAGGCGGCUCGAUAAGUCUGCUGUGAAAGUCCAGGGCUCAACCCUGGGAUGCCGGUGGAUACUGUCGAGCUCGAGUCCGGAAGAGGCGAGUGGAAUUCCUGGUGUAGCGGUGAAAUGCGCAGAUAUCAGGAGGAACACCAAUGGCGAAGGCAGCUCGCUGGGACGUGACUGACGCUGAGACGCGAAGGCGUGGGGAGCAAACAGG